rnacentral:lncRNA from 12 species
UGCUCUAUCACUGAGCCAGCCAGGUGCCCCUCUCUUUUGACCUAACAUUCAUUUCCACAGGACUCCUCAGCACAUUCAGUUCCUUUGCCACAACUAUGCUUUACUCACAGCAACUAUGUCAAUACUCAGCCAAUCCUCAAUGACUUCAACAAUUAGCUUUCUGCAUUCUUUUUCUUGAGUUGCCAAGCCUUGGUGGAAAAAAUAGCCUAGUUCUGUAAGUUCAUAUUACUGUAAAUUCUUAGAUGUUAAACUGAACAUGGCACUUACUGCCAUUCAGCAGUUCUUUGGUUAUUUCUAGUCAAUUCCUUUUAUAGAUAGUAGGUUGUAUCUUGAUUCUACAAUUCACUAGGUUGUAUGACCUUGGGUAAGUGAUUUAACCUCUCUGAUUCUCCAUUACUUAAUCUCUAAAAUGAAGACGGUGGUACCUGUGUCAAAAGAUUGUUUUAAGGAUUAAAAACACAAUGUAUAUUGUGUUUUCAAUAUACAAUUAAAGCAUAAAAAGCAGCACUGUUGUGGAGACAGCAAGGCAGAUGGCCAAUCAACUGUCCCCGAAGGUACAUACUUGAAUCCUGUGGUUGGGUUAGAAAGGAACUGUGAGGUACUGUAGAGUAGUGAUGGCAGGCACUCAGCAGGUCUGAGCAGAACAGUGCAAGCAUUUAGUAAGGAAAAGCUUUUGGGUUAUUGUGGACAGAAGAUGAAAGCUAUUUUUCAACUUUGAGAUAAUAUUUCCUCUGUCACUUCCUGGCACAAUUAUCUGGACAUUAACAAGACGCAUGACUGAACUUUGAACUCACUGAUUGGGGUUUGCAGGGAGCAGAAGUUCCAAAAACCCUGUGAGGUCCUUGUCCGCUCCUACCUAAGCACUCUGAGCCUCCCCAGUUGUCUUAGUCACUCUGGAGAGAUUUAAUAGGGCACAAGUCCAAGCUCCUUCUCUUUCCCCAUUUGUUUUCUAUGGCAAAAUCUACAAGGAUGACCGUGUCUGUAUAUCGUACAGGCUAAGAGCCAUGUGACUUGUGGUUUUCCAAACUUAACUGGUAGCUCUUUCCAAUGUGUAAUACCCACCCUGCUCCUAGGAACACACCCUGGGAGCAGAUAUGU